rnacentral:rRNA from 1 species
GCAGUCGAGGGGCAGCAUAUAGAUUGCUUGCAAUUUAUGAUGGCGACCGGCGCACGGGUGAGUAACGCGUAUCCAACCUACCCAUUACUAGGGAAUAACCCAGCGAAAGUUGGCCUAAUGCCCUAUGUAGUCGUUUGAUCGCCUGAGAUUUCGACGAAAGAUUUAUCGGUAUUGGAUGGGGAUGCGUCUGAUUAGCUUGUUGGCGGGGUAAAGGCCCACCAAGGCAACGAUCAGUAGGGGUUCUGAGAGGAAGGUCCCCCACAUUGGAACUGAGACACGGUCCAAACUCCUACGGGAGGCAGCAGUGAGGAAUAUUGGUCAAUGGGCGAGAGCCUGAACCAGCCAAGUAGCGUGCAGGAUGACGGCCCUAUGGGUUGUAAACUGCUUUUAUAUGGGAAUAAAGUGAGGGACGUGUCCCUUAUUGCAUGUACCAUACGAAUAAGGACCGGCUAAUUCCGUGCCAGCAGCCGCGGUAAUACGGAAGGUCCAGGCGUUAUCCGGAUUUAUUGGGUUUAAAGGGAGCGUAGGCUGUUUGUUAAGCGUGUUGUGAAAUGUAGGAGCUCAACUUUUAGAUUGCAGCGCGAACUGGCAGACUUGAGUGCGCACAACGUAGGCGGAAUUCAUGGUGUAGCGGUGAAAUGCUUAGAUAUCAUGACGAACUCCGAUUGCGAAGGCAGCUUACGGGAGCGCAACUGACGCUAAAGCUCGAAGGUGCGGGUAUCGAACAGGAUUAGAUACCCUGGUAGUCCGCACAGUAAACGAUGGAUGCCCGCUGUUAGCACCUAGUGUUAGCGGCUAAGCGAAAGCAUUAAGCAUCCCACCUGGGGAGUACGUCGGCAACGGUGAAACUCAAAGGAAUUGACGGGGGCCCGCACAAGCGGAGGAACAUGUGGUUUAAU